rnacentral:rRNA from 1 species
AUUGGGACUGAGACACGGCCCAGACUCCUACGGGAGGCAGCAGUGGGGAAUAUUGCACAAUGGGGGAAACCCUGAUGCAGCGACGCCGCGUGGAGGAAGAAGGUCUUCGGAUUGUAAACUCCUGUUGUUGAGGAAGAUAAUGACGGUACUCAACAAGGAAGUGACGGCUAACUACGUGCCAGCAGCCGCGGUAAAACGUAGGUCACAAGCGUUGUCCGGAAUUACUGGGUGUAAAGGGAGCGCAGGCGGGAAGACAAGUUGGAAGUGAAAUCUAUGGGCUCAACCCAUAAACUGCUUUCAAAACUGUUUUUCUUGAGUAGUGCAGAGGUAGGCGGAAUUCCCGGUGUAGCGGUGGAAUGCGUAGAUAUCGGGAGGAACACCAGUGGCGAAGGCGGCCUACUGGGCACCAACUGACGCUGAGGCUCGAAAGUGUGGGUAGCAAACAGGAUUAGAUACCCUGGUAGUCCACACCGUAAACGAUGAUUACUAGGUGUUGGAGGAUUGACCCCUUCAGUGCCGCAGUUAACACAAUAAGUAAUCCACCUGGGGAGUACGACCGCAAGGUUGAAACUCAAAGGAAUUGACGGGGGCCCGCACAAGCAGUGGAGUAUGUGGUUUAAUUCGACGCAACGCGAAGAACCUUACCAAGUCUUGACAUCCCUUGACGAACAUAGAAAUAUGUUUUCUCUUCGGAGCAAGGAGACAGGUGGUGCAUGGUUGUCGUCAGCUCGUGUCGUGAGAUGUUGGGUUAA